rnacentral:miRNA from 1 species
AAGAUUGUUUUUAUGAAAG